rnacentral:rRNA from 1 species
CGGCCAGCCCGGACCGAGGAACGCGCUUCGGCACGNACGCUGGCAUAAUGGUCGUAAGCGACCCGUCUUGAAACACGGACCAAGGAGUAUAACAUCUACGCGAGUGUUCGGGUGUCAAACCCGUGCGCUCAGUGAAAGCGAACGGAGGUGGGAACCCUCACGGGUGCACCAUCGACCGAUCCUGAUGUCUUCGGAUGGAUUUGAGUAAGAGCGUAGCUGUUGGGACCCGAAAGAUGGUGAACUAUGCCUGAAUAGGGCGAAGCCAGAGGAAACUUUUCUUAUUGGUCGCAGCGGUUCUGACGUGCAAAUCGAUCGUCAAAUUUGGGUAUAGGGGCGAAAGACU